UCUAACAUACUUUAUAAAAACAUACAGUAAUGACAUUAUUGAAUAGAAUGAAACAGCUUGUAACAAUUUCUCCUUCGAUUCAAUGCACAUUGUGCCGCUCAUUUUCGUAUGCAUGCCUCCGCCACCUGGGGGCAGUGUAAGACAGACAUAGGUAUUUACAUGGAGAAAGAGGAGACGUCACAAAUCCUCAGCAAUAAUAUGAGUUGCUCUUCAUAGAGGAUAAAGAACAUAUGUCUGUGAGUACUGUUAUAUCAUCUGUCAAAUAUCUGUUGCUUCAAAGGUUAUAACACACCGCUACAUAGAUUCUAACAGUUAACCCGUGUCCGUGGCGUUUCCCAUGAUGUGUUACCAUUCGCAUAGGUGGUCGACUAAAGGCGCAGCUUUGUGGUCGUUUUAAAUAAUUCCCUUUGUUGAAUGUUUAGUUUGACAGUAAACGUCAAUGGAGAACGGCAGUAAACAGCUUGAAGCCUCUUUUUCUGAAGAAUAUUUUCUAAUUCUACCGUGAGGUGAGUUGAAGCGAGUGACUGCCACCAUGCUCGUAUCUCAAGUUUGUGCUCCCAAAUCAGAGCAAGAAAAAAAUCGGCAGAACGACGGCUCAAAUCUCAGAUCACUUGCAUCUUAAGACACCACCUAUAAAGAGAGAGAGAGAGAGAGAGAGAGCAAGCCAUGCAUGCAGCAGUCGAGAUGCAAAACAUACAGAUGCGAUCUAUCCUUCUCGUAUCGUUUGCUACGAUAUCUCUUGCGCAACAAGCCCUUCCGAUCCUCUCCUCUACUUCGCCUCGCACCCGUCCAGAGUGCAGGGCGGCGACGUGUGUCCUCGAGGAACCUGGUGAAUAGUAAUGAGCCAGGCCUGUGUCUAUUUGCUGGAAAAGCCAGAUGAAGACUGGGAGGCUAGGAAAGGGUUAGUGGGGAAUGAGGAGGAGGGCUCGACUGGGAGUGAAAAACAAGGCUCCUCUCGCAGCACUGACGCAGUACAAGUGUGAGUUGCACUUGCAUUAAUCCUCAUCGCACCCUCUGACCAACGUGACGUCACUCAUUAGAAGCUUCCAAAAUGGCAUCUCUUCUCAUAGUCGGUACUCACAUUGAACAGAACGGGACGAGGGGGCCGCAACACCUGCCCACAUACUUCUGAUGGACUGGAAAGGCAAAUAUCAGACUGAGGGGAUGCCAUUCCGGCUCCAGCGAGGGACGCAGGAGAGGGAGAAGGAGACCAUCAGAAUAGAUCAAACGUGGCCAAGACCAUCCAUCAUAUGUGAUUCAAAACAUCUGGCCAGAGCUGAUUGUCCUAAUUGGCUCCCAGCAGAGAGGGACCACGUACGAUGUUAGGGGAUUUCGAGCUAAUCCUCCCUGUGGCUAACAAU